GAGCAUGAGCCUGUUCGGACGCUUCCACCACCGCCACCAUCUUCGCCACCGCCACGAGCAGGACGUGGAGGAGGAGGAAGACCACAAGGAGGACAAGGACGCAGGCCCGAAGAUGAAGCUGUUCGGACGUUUCCACCACCACCACGCGCACGACAGCGACAACGAGGUCGACGAGGUGGAAGAACUGGCUAGGAAGCUGAGCGAGGCGAUCAUGAGAAGGAGCUUCAGCCAUGGCGGCCGCCGCCACCACCACCACCACGGCGCGGAGGGCGGGGUGAAGAAGUGGUUCAAGGGCCUCAUGAACCGAUUCUAGACGUACCGCCGGCCGGCGGCUGGUUGAUUUGGUCGUUUAAUUACUUUGGUUAAUCUGUUCUCUGCACUGUGUGCGUGACGUGGAGUGCUCUGCCAUUUCGUACCUUUUUUUGCUUCCUAUUCCACAUUACAUUACUACUUGUGUUGAUAUAUGUACUGGUGUGUUAGUUUACUC
rnacentral:lncRNA from 1 species